rnacentral:rRNA from 1 species
AGCAGUCGCCGCGGGAAUACGGAGGGUGCAAGCGUUAAUCGGAAUUACUGGGCGUAAAGCGCACGCAGGCGGUCUGACAAGUCAGAUGUGAAAUCCCCGGGCUUAACCUGGGAACUGCAUUUGAAACUGUCAGGCUGGAGUCUUGUAGAGGGGGGUAGAAUUCCAGGUGUAGCGGUGAAAUGCGUAGAGAUCUGGAGGAAUACCGGUGGCGAAGGCGGCCCCCUGGACAAAGACUGACGCUCAGGUGCGAAAGCGUGGGGAGCAAACAGGAUUAGAUACCCCUGUAGUCCCUGUCUCUUAUAA